rnacentral:rRNA from 1 species
UACGUAGGGUGCGAGCGUUGUCCGGAAUUACUGGGCGUAAAGAGCUCGUAGGUGGUUUGUCGCGUUGUUCGUGAAAACCGGGGGCUUAACCCUCGGCGUGCGGGCGAUACGGGCAGACUUGAGUACUGCAGGGGAGACUGGAAUUCCUGGUGUAGCGGUGGAAUGCGCAGAUAUCAGGAGGAACACCGGUGGCGAAGGCGGGUCUCUGGGCUGACACUGACGCUCAUGCACGAAAGCGUGGGGAGCAAACAGG